AAAAAAAGGCCAGUUGCGUUUAAGUUUUAAGAUUUUAGCCACGUAAAACUGUAUUUCAGUGUGCAGUGCCCUGUCGCGUUUUGAAUUGUAGGAGGAGGCCUGGAGCUGGGAGUGGCUCAUUCCCGCGCCGGCUCCAAGGAGCGCGCGGUCCGUCCCGGCGGGUUGAGGGCCGGCGGCCCUGUGCCGUGCGGCCGGCAGUCUGACGCAGCAGCUUCCAUGAGCCUUUGUGUUGCCCAUUCACUUUUGGAAACUAGUGAACGUGGUGUCAAAAAAGGCGCAAACUAAACACUUAGCAGCCCUUUCCUGCCCUUGGAUUUGGUAUCUUGGGUGUAGGAGCUGUGUAAGUAACAGUGUGUGCUUUUACAUAAAUUUGUUCGCACCUGUGAUCUUGAGCCUGCCGACAUUAAGCGUAGAGUUUCUCAUGACAGGUUUAACUUGAUUUUUGUUUAGGGGAAAGAUGGAUGCUUGAAGCGUAGACUGCUAGCUGACUACUACCUGGGAGCACAAAGAUGACCUAAGGGUAUCAUUGGUGAAGAAUUUGAAAACUUAAUCUUUACAAGAGUUGCUUGGAUUGUUUAAAAUUUUCAAGAGUUUGAAGAGGGCCAAAACUGCCUCUGGACAGUCCAUAAAUAUACAUUUAAAACAAUGUAUCUGUGAAUAAAUAUUUAAAUGUG